AGCAGCAUGGCGCAGUCGGAAGCGCGCGGGGCCCAUAUCGAGGGAUACGUAGAAAUCCGGAUAUUGAAUAUUGAACCCCGAGGUCACUUGAUCGAAACAGUUGCUGCUA